UACGUAGGAGGCGAGCGUUGUCCGGAUUUACUGGGCGUAAAGGGAGCGUAGGCGGACUUUUAAGUGAGAUGUGAAAUACUCGGGCUCAACUUGAGUGCUGCAUUUCAAACUGGAAGUCUAGAGUGCAGGAGAGGAGAAUGGAAUUCCUAGUGUAGCGAUGAAAUGCGUAGAGAUUAGGAAGAACACCAGUGGCGAAGGCGAUUCUCUGGACUGUAACUGACGCUGAGGCUCGAAAGCGUGGGGAGCAAACAGG
rnacentral:rRNA from 1 species